GGGGAGCUCCUCGCCCGGCUGGCGAAGGCCGGAGGCUCCCAGGGCCUCGCUGCCCUGCGCCCUGCGCGCUGCGCCCGGGACGCCGGCUCCCCGCGCUGCCGCCCUCCUCGAGGGCAGGGCGAGCCCCGUCCGGUGGACGACGAACUUAUGGGACACCUAUGCUGACUCUCAGUGAGGCAACAGUGUUUACAAUAUGAAGGACAUGAAGAUACUAAUUUUAAUAUUCUCAUUUCACCCUGAAAACAACCUGUAAGAACGGUGAAACAACUUAAGAAAUCAGCGUGUGCUCCUCAGAGAGUCUGCGGCUCACCUAACCAUCCAGGCCACUUCCAGGAAGACUUCAGUGGUGGCUCCUGAGAUGGUUUCCAUCAUUGGUGUGGUGAUGGGUGGACGUCUUAGGAAGAUGAGGAAACUGAGGCCCAGGCGACAGGUGAGCUGUCUAAGGUCGCGAAAGAGUUGGGUAGAUGCCAUGACCAGAGCUCAGGUCUCCACCCCUGCCAGGGUUCCUCCCACUUGGAGAAUGGCAGUGGCUCCUGCCAUUUGCAUUCAAUCCAUGUUCCAGCCACAAUCUGUG